ACGAGAGUUUGAUCUUGGCUCAGGACGAACGCUGGCGGCGUGCUUAACACAUGCAAGUCGAGCGGUAAGGCCCUUUCGGGGGUACGACGAGCGGCGAACGGGUGAGUAACACGUGGGUGACCUGCCCUUAGCUCUGGGAUAAGCCUGGGAAACUGGGUCUAAUACCGGAUAUGACUCCAUGACGCAUGUUGUGGGGUGGAAAGCCUUGUGCGGCUAGGGAUGGGCCCGCGGCCUAUCAGCUUGUUGGUGGGGUGGAUGGCCUACCAAGGCGACGACGGGUAGCCGGCCUGAGAGGGCGACCGGCCACACUGGGACUGAGACACGGCCCAGACUCCUACGGGAGGCAGCAGUGGGAA
rnacentral:rRNA from 1 species